CAGGAUAAAAACGGGGUCCGGAAAAGCCUGUUUGGGCUACCCCAAUUAAGUGAGAAAAUGUUUAUAUUUAUAUUAUCUGUUUCUUUUUCCUUAUUUUUAUUUCCCGUUUCUUUUUCCUCUCCCGCGAGCCCGAGCCUUUCCCCGACGCCGAUUUCCUCUCAGCCUUCUCCUUCGGUGCCCUAACCGCCGGCGGCGGUUUCCUCGCCGAAUCCGAGCGCCUGAGACCUCUUCUCCCCGACGCCACCCUCGCGCCUCUCUCUGCCCUAACCGCCGGUUACCUUCUCCCUCUCCUCGCCAGCGACGUUCCUCUUCACCGCCGUCGGGACGCCAAGUGCCACAGCACACAGCCGACGCCGCCGGAGUACUGCCGACUCAGCGACGCCGUCUCAGUUGCCCUAGCCACCGUUGCUGACACCCGAGCAGGAGCCGAGCGAUUCCUUGCCCUAGGUGCCGACGCCGCACCUCUCUGCCCUAGCGCCGGGCCGCCGUCGAGCCUUAGUUCUCCGGCCGACUUUUCCUUCCCGAGCCGCACCAAGCGAUGCCAUUACUUGAGGCCGGACGGAGCAGUGCAUACCCCUACUUCAAUUGCCCAGAUUCGGUAGCUAAUCUGUUCCUCUGCCUAGUGUCAGUAAACAAGCCUUCUUCCCUCUGUAUUGUCGUCGGCCAUAAGAUUUCGAGCAUCCACAUAUUUCUAUAGCCUAUUGACAGAGAGGAAGAAGAUUUGGCAGCAAUAUACCUUUGCUGGCAACAACAAACCGUGUGUGGAUCAACAAUCAAGGCUGUGAAUUUAGGACUUUGACGCGAGACGAGUAUCUCGGAGUCAGAUUGGACCU